GCUGUGGCUCAGUGGUACGGCAUCUGCUUCACUUGCCGAAGGUCCUGGGUUCAAUCCCCAGUAUCUCCA
rnacentral:tRNA from 1 species